AGCCCUUGGGUUUGUCAUUGUUUAAUUUGUAACAAAGACUUACAAAGAGAUGCAAAACAUAAAUCCUCCUUACAACCCAGGAUUCAUUGUUCAGUAUGAAUUUUGAUAAAUACAAGAAGUAUGAC